GUGAAACCCCUCGCCCUGCCUAUGUCCCGGAUCCCUGUACAGAUCCAGGAGGAGUCGGGCUGGCUGGUAGUUGGGGUUCUCCAGGAUAUCGGCUGAGAGGCCCUGUUGGGGGGUGACUGUCUCCCCAUGGGACAGGAUCCAGGCCCCGCUCCUGUAACGGCCGAGGGUUUGAAUUCAAAUCCAGGGAACCAAUUGGCUAGGAUGGAAAUGGUCAGUGAAAAUGCAAAUAACCUGGCUGGCAGGGGGGAGGGGCUGCUGGGCUCAGGAUACCUGCCUACCUGUAACCAGCCCCCUGGGGCUGAGUGGGAGGGAGAGAUGCUCCCCGCCCCCCUGCACACCGGAGAGGGGGCUCACACUGGCUCUGAUGCUGUGACCAGAGCAGAGAGCUCGCUGCCUGCCCCCACUGGGACAGCAAGGGCAGCGCUGAGCACGGGGGGAGCUGAGACCCCAGCUGAGUGGGGGGACACCCGGGCAGGGCAGGUCAGCUGCCAAACAGGUUUGCCUGGUCCAGACGUGCUGCUGGGAAGUGAUUACACAGCAGGGAGGGAGCUACCAGGGACAGGGCUCAGGGGGGCUGUGACCCCAGGCCCAGCCAGCGAGAGGGAGCAGGUCCCACUCCCUGCCCCAGCCGCUGAAUCCCAGACUGAGCUGCAGAGGGAUCCCUCCUUGGAGAAGCUGAGGGAACUUGCUGGCCACAGCGCUGCAAACCCCCUUGGGGAAGGCUGCAGGGACAGAGUCCUGCAGGAGAAGGGAUUCCUGUACCGGGAAUGGGCUCCCCAAGGGGAAGUAGAACUGGGGGGAAUCGGGAGACAGCUGGUGGUACCCCAGGAAUCCACAGGGUUCUUCCCGUUCGAGCUGCUGGAUGGGAGGAGAGUGAGGGGACCCCUGGACCUGAAGAGGGAGGAUUGGAUGGAGAAGGGGGAAGACCCCCAGGGGGAUCUCUUCCCUGAGGUGGGAGCCAAUCUCCCCAUCAGGUGUUCCCCAUUCAGAGUCACUGGGAAAGCAGCCCAGAACCUGGAGAGAGAGGUCAGGGACAUGCUGGCUUUAGAUGGGAUCCAGCCAUUUUACAGCCCAUGGGCCUCACCCGUGGGGCUGAUCCCCAAGCGAGACAGGAUGAUCUGGUUUUAUGGGGGCUAUCAGAAGCUUAAAGCCAUCACAGUGUCCGAUGCCGACCCCAUGCCUAGGCCUGGGGAGAUUCUAGACAAGCUGAGAGGGAUGGAGAACUUGGCCCUGGCAGACACUGAUAACAUGUGCAUCUUUAGCCAGACCUGGGAGGAACAGGUGUCCCAGGUGAAGAGGGGGCUGGGCUGCCUCAAGGAGGUGGGACUGACGGUAAAAGCUGGAAAGUGCAAGGGGGGACGGCAGAGGUGGUGUGUCUGGGCCACAAGGUGGGAAGCGG
rnacentral:lncRNA from 1 species